rnacentral:rRNA from 1 species
AACGAACGCUGGCGGCAGGCUUAACACAUGCAAGUCGAACGCUCGUAGCAAUACGGGAGUGGCGGACGGGUGAGUAACGCGUGGGAACGUGCCCUGAGGUACGGAAUAACUGAGGGAAACUUCAGCUAAUACCGUAUGAGCCCCGAGAGGGGGAAAGAUUUAUCGCCUUGGGGAGCGGCCCGCGUCGGAUUAGCUAGUUGGUGGGGUAACGGCCUACCAAGGCUUCGAUCCGUAGCUGGUCUGAGAGGACGAUCAGCCACACUGGGACUGAGACACGGCCCAGACUCCUACGGGAGGCAGCAGUGGGGAAUCUUGCGCAAUGGGGGCAACCCUGACGCAGCCAUGCCGCGUGAACGAUGAAGGCCUUAGGGUUGUAAAGUUCUUUUACCCGUGACGAUGAUGACGGUAACGGGGGAAUAAGCUCCGGCUAACUUCGUGCCAGCAGCCGCGGUAAU